GGACGGUUAGCUGAGACAGAUUAGCGCGACGCUGAAAACGUCGAGAGGUUGGCGCGAUACCAACACCGUCCACCA
rnacentral:tRNA from 1 species